rnacentral:rRNA from 1 species
UACGUAGGGGGCAAGCGUUGUCCGGAUUAUUGGGCGUAAAGAGCGUGUAGGCGGCCAUACAGGUCAGCUGUGAAAACUCGAGGCUCAACCUCGAGACGUCGGUUGAAACCGUAUGGCUAGAGUCCGGAAGAGGAGAGUGGAAUUCCCGGUGUAGCGGUGAAAUGCGCAGAUAUCGGGAAGAACACCCGUGGCGAAGGCGGCUCUCUGGGACGGUACUGACGCUGAGACGCGAAAGCGUGGGGAGCGAACGAGG